ACAAUCAACAAUUUAAUCAGAUAUCUGGACUUGAACAAGGAAGUACCCGAGCUUUUGACUUUAGAGCUGAAAGGUGUUCAGCCCCCUAAAAAAUCCAAAUCACCAAAGCGACUUAGGAGAGCAGCACCAAUGGAUGCACAAACCGUCAAAGUUGACGGCACUUCAUCCAGUGAGGGCAACCUGUCUAUUAAGAUAUCACUACCCAAAGAGUAUCAUUUUUCAAAGGAGGCUCGCAGUAAAUUUAGCGUUGACACAGCCUGAAAAUGUAGUGAUUAUUGAUCCCUUGGAUGGAUAUAUUAGUCCAGAUGGAUAUGCAACUCUCCACUUUAGGAGAUUUUUGCCCUCUGCUUCAACAGGCAGAAUAAAUUGCAAGACAGCGGAUUAGCCCCCUACAUACCUGCACUAAAUAGACACAAAUCUUU